GACGAACGCUGGCGGCGUGCCUAACACAUGCAAGUCAAGGAGAAUUCCCGACUUGUCGGGAUAGUAAACUGGCGAACGGGUGAGUAACACGUAGGUAAUCUACCCUCGGGAUCGGGAUAACCUCGCGAAAGUGGGGAUAAUACCGAAUAAAGUCUCGGUAUAAUUUGUCGAGAUGAAAGAUGGGGAUCUUCGGACCUAUUACCUGAGGAUGAGCCUGCGCCUGAUUAGCUAGUUGGUAGGGUAAAUGCCUACCAAGGCAACGAUCAGUAGCUGGUCUGAGAGGAUGAUCAGCCACAUUGGGACUGAGAUACGGCCCAGACUCCUACGGGAGGCAGCAGUGAGGAAUUUUGCGCAAUGGGCGAAAGCCUGACGCAGCAACGCCGCGUGACUGAUUAAGCUCUGAGGAGUGUAAAAGUCUGUCGUAGAGGAAGAAACUAUCCGAUAAGAAUAUUGUCGGAUACUGACGGUACUCUAUGAGAAAGCUCCGG
rnacentral:rRNA from 1 species